UACGUAGGUGGCAAGCGUUUGUCCGGAUUUACUGGGCGUAAAGGGCGUGCAGGCGGUUUGUUAAGUCUAGGGUGAAAGCUCCCGGCUCAACUGGGAGAGGUCCUUGGAUACUGGCAGACUUGAGGGAGGCAGAGGAAAGUGGAAUUCCCGGUGUAGUGGUGAUAUGCGUAGAUAUCGGGAGGAACACCAGGUGGCGAAGGCGCUUUCUGGGCCUUACCUGACGCUGGAGGCGCGAAAGCUAGGGGAGCAAACGGG
rnacentral:rRNA from 1 species